GCAGGGGCUGCUGUGGGAAAAACAUGAAUGCAUUCAGUAGCUGCACAAAGUAUAUAGCAGAAUACUGCCAGACCAGCUCUUCCCUUGUUGCAGCUCUAACUUCCCUGCUGUGAUAUGCAGGCAUCUGUGAUGGUCUUUGUCUGUCCAUGUUUAGACAUCUAAAUUUUCUACAGCCUAGAGGCAUACAUUGGGACUGACCACCUGACCACCUAGUCAACAGCAAGAAAACAGUAUUAUUGAAGUACAGUGACUCUUACAAGGACAUGCCUGAGGAGCUGAUAAUUUUCCAGAGCUGUGAGAUGAUGCACUUCAAGACCCCAGCAUCCUUCAGGGAGAAGCUUCCCUGCUUCUGACUUCAGCAGGAACUGGUGCCCUGGUCAUCCCACCCAGGCUGGUUUUGCCCUGGGAGCAGAACAUUUCUCUAUUGGACUGAUUGCUAUGCCGGCAAGGAGGGUCCUUGACACUAGCCAGUCUGUCCAAGCUCAUCAGCAAGACACUUCUGGAACAGCCCUUGUUAUAUACCACUGUGUUGCAGUACAAGUCCACUCCAAAACUCAGCAGCAGUGUUUGUGACCUUGUGUGGUUCCAGGUAGGUCCCAUCACCCUGACCAAGGCUAUGGGACAUAAUCCAAAUACACAAAAUUAA
rnacentral:lncRNA from 1 species